AACCGGCUUCUCUCUUUCUUUUCCCUGGGUCUCUAAAGUUAUUUAAUUUUUUUAUUUUUUUCUAUACUUUCUACUCAAUUUUUUUUCUCAUAAAGCUUAUUUUCGGACCUCCUAUUUAUAGAUAAAUUUUUCAUAAUUUUUUGGUAGAAAAAGAAAUCCUAAAACCCUUAGAAAUCAUAUUAAUCUCCUUAAAAAUAUUUUU
rnacentral:lncRNA from 1 species